rnacentral:lncRNA from 12 species
CCCCCCCCCCCCCCCCCCCCCCCCCCCCCCCCCCCCCCCCCCCCCCCCCCCCCCCCCCCCCCCCCCCCCCUGGUUGGGCUUAGAGGGAGACUUGAGGGAUUUGGAGGAAUCCCUGUGGGGUUUUUUGGGCCUUCCUUGUCGGCUUAGGAAUGGUUUGAAAAAUUUUUGGGGGUCUCAGGUGAAUUUUGGUAUGAAUUUGUGGUAUUUAGGGGGGGUCUCAGGUGGCGUUUACCGAGUCCCAGGUGGGGGUUGAGGAGACUUUGGUGGAUUUUCAGGAGUCCUGAGUGGAUUUUGGGGGCAAUUUGUGGGGAUCCCAGGUGGGAUUUGAGGCUUCCUGGAUGGGUUUUGGGCGAGUUUUGAGGGAUUUUGGGGGCUCCGUGAUGGAUUUUGUUGUAGGAUUUGAGGCUUCCUGGAUGGGUUUUGGGCGAGUUUUGAGGGAUUUUGGGGGCUCCGUGAUGGAUUUUGUUGUAGAUUUGAGUAGUUUUGGAGUCUUCCAUAUGGUUUUUGGGGUGAUUUGAGAGGGGGAGUCCCUGUGGGGUUUUGGGUCGUCCCAGGUGCGUUUGGAGGAUCCCGGAUGGGAUUUGGGAGGUUCUGAGUGGGGUUUGUGGGGUUUUGGGAGGUUGAGGUGAGUUUAGGAAAAAUUGGUGGAAUUUUCCCUUUGAUUCUUAGAGGAUUUUUCCUUUAUUAGUGCAAAUUGUCAGGGACUUUUCUGGUUUGACAGGCUAAAUUUUUACUAGUUUUUUCCUGAUGCUUUUCCCAGCAACCCUUGGAAUUUUGGCAGAGUUUAGGUCUUUUAGUAUGGAUUUCGGGAGUUUUUCGCCCAUUGUUCGUGUGAUUUCCAGGCUUUUGGGGCCAGUUUAAGUCGCAUUUCCUCUGCAUAUUUUGCCCACUCACUUUGCCAGUUUUUUCCCUCAGAAAUUCCAGGAAUCUCCCUGGAUUUUGGGGCCAUUUCUGUUUUUUUAGCGCAGAUGUUAGGUGUUGUUCUGGCCAUUUUUUAUGCCAUUUCUGGGGGAUUUCUGUGUUUCUUAGUGCGAAUUUUUGGCAUUUUCCUGGGUUGUUAAGGCUGAGUUUAUCCUGGGUUUUUUCCUGAUGUUUAUCCCAAUAAUGCCUGGAAUUUUGACCAGUUUCGGGUGUUUCAGUGUUGAUUUUUGGACUAUUUCGGGCCAUUUUCAUAUUGAUUUUUAGGGGAAUUUGGCAUCUCUUAUAGCCAGUUUGUCUGGCUGAUUUUUUCCUAGUUUUUUCCUGAUGCUUUUCCCAGUAAUCCUUGGAAUUUUGGCAGAAUUUAAGUCUUUUAGUAUGGAUUUCAAGAGUUUUUGCACCAUUGUUCGUGUGAUUUCCAGGCUUUUUGGGCCAGUUUAAGUCGCAUUUCCUCUGCAUAUUUUGCCCACUCUCUUUCCCAGGUUUUUCCUCAGAAAUUCCAGGAAUCUCCCUGGAUUUUGGGGCCAUUUCUGUUUUUUUAGUGCAACAUUUUAGUUUUUUUAGGUGUUGAUCUGUCCAUUUUUUGUGCAAUAUCUGGGGGAUUUCUGUGUUUCAUAGUGCGAAUUUUUAGGCAUUUUCCUGGGUUGUUAAGGCUGAAUUUAUCCCGGGUUUUUCCCUGAUGUUUUUCCCAAUAAUGCCUAAAAUUUUUUACCAGUUUGUGGUGUUUCGGUGUCGAUUUUAGGACUAUUUCUAGCCAUUUUCAUAUUGAUUUUUACAGGGGUUUUGAAUCUCUUAGUGCCAAUUUGUUAGGCUGAAUUUAUCCUGGAUUUUUCCGAAUGUUUUUCCCAAUAAUGCCUUUAAUUUUGACCAGUUUGGGGCGUUUCAGUGUUGAUUUUAGGAUAAUUUCUGGCCUUAUUCUUAUUAAUAUUUAGGGGUAUUUUGCAUCUCUUAUUGCCAAUUUGUUAGCCUGAAUUUUCCCUAGAUUUUUCCUGAUGCUUUCCCCAGCAAUUCUUGGGAUUUUGGCAGAGUCUAGGUGUUUUUGUACAGAUUCCAGGAGUUUCUGAGCUUUUUUUUGUUCUGAUUUAGGGGCUUUUGGUAAAUAUUAAGUCUCAUUUCCUCUGCAUAUUUUGCCCACUCUCUUUCCCAGGUUUUUCCUCAGAAAUCCCUGGACUCUCACUGCAUUCUGGGGCCAUUUCUGUUUUUUUAGUGCAGAUGUUAGGUGUUGUUCUGUCCAUUUCUUGUGCAAUUUCUGGGGGAUUUCUGUGUUUCAUAGUGCUAAAUUUUAGGCAUUUUUCUGGUUUGUCAAGGCCAAAUUUAUGCUGGGUUUUUUCCUGAUGUUUUUCCCAAUAAUGCUUGGAAUUUUAACUGGUUUGGGGUAUUUCAGUGUUGAUUUUAGGACUAUUUCUGGCCAUUUUCAUAUUGAUUGUUACAGGGGAAUUUUGCGUCUCUUAGUGCCAAUUUGUUAGCCUGAAUUUUCCCUGAUGUUUUUCCCAGCUGUCCUUGGGAUUUUGGCAGAGUUUAGGUGGUUUUGUACAGAUUCCAGGAGUUUAUCAGCUAUUUUUUGCACCAAUUUAGGUGCU